rnacentral:rRNA from 1 species
AUAUAACUAAGCGGAGGAAAAGAAACUAACAAGGAUUCCCCUAGUAACGGCGAGUGAACCGGGAAGUGCUCAAACUGAAAAUCGGCCUGGCGGCUCCCGUCGGUCGAGUUGUAGUCUAUAGGGGCGCCGCCAACCCGCGCCGUGGAUCAACUUUCCUCCGAACAGGGGAUCAGAGAGGGUGUAAAUCCCGUAGCGUCCACGGCAAACGGUGUACGGUGCGCUUCCGACGAGUCGGAUUGCUUGCGAGUGCAGUCCUAAGUGGGUGGUAGAUCCCAUCUAAAGCUAAAUAUGAGCGGGAGACCGAUAGCAAACAAGUACCGCGAGGGAAAGAUGAAAAGCACUCUGCAGAGAGAGUUAAAAGGACUUGAAAUUGCUGAAAGGGAAGCGGUUGGUGCCAGUACGCUCAAGGACCGAACAGCGGCGCGCGCGGACCCCCGCGUGCGCCCCCUGUCGGCCCCUGCGGCCAGCAUCAGUUCGCGUUCCACGGGAGAUCACACGCUGGGAGGUGCCGUGGCCCUGCGCAAGCGGGAUCCCGCGAGUUUAACCGGUGUGUCGUGCCGUGGCGUGGACUGAGGCACGAAGGGGGCAACCCAUCGAUGCUGGCGAAAUGGUACCCACCGA